CAUUAUUAUAUCAUCGGUAUCUGCAUCGACAUCUCGAACACGAACUCGAAAAUGUUAAUACAGCCCUUAUCUGUCGUCGAGUUUUUUCCCAGGAACACCACGCACCACCUGCGAGAAGUUUCCGGGAGAAGUGUCGUUCACUGCGAGCCGACGCUAGCGCGCAGCCGCCGGAGUCUUGGUGUCUUCGUACCAGGCUCAUUCACAAAGAGACAACGGGAGAGACCACAACGGCAGUCAUGGACCGUACAAAGUUGGGGAUAGUCGUGGUGUUGCUUUAUGGAUUAGUUAUGGUGUUGUGCCUCAGUGCAGUUGAUUCCUCAGGCUCGGAAGAGGCAAUCAUAGUUCGAACCCGACGGUCUCGCACAUGGCAGUUCCAGGACCUUCUAACGAAAUGUUCAACGCAUAGAGAGUGCAAAUACACCGGAUUCUGCAACAGCGACCGAGGAAAAUGUUGUUCUCCUCACGGAUAUGCCUGUUUUACGGACUACGACUGUUGUAAAAAGGGCCACAUUUGCGGCGGGAAAUACGCCAAAUACUGCAAAAACCCUAUGCCUGCGCGGGGGUAAAAGUCACCGAAAUCCCGCAAUCGGUUCCUUGUGGAAACGGAACAAAUUGAGGAUAUGAUACAUUUUACUUUGUUUUAGGUUUUUGUGUCUUGUAGAGAAACGGUGUACUGUAACAUUUCCUUCAAAUUGUUAGAUUCUGUAAAAUUUCAGUAUACCUCAUUACACGAGUUCGACAUUUGAAAACACGGACGCAAUCGACAUGGGAAAACAUAAUCUUGGGCGCGUUUAUAAAGGAGGUGGAGGUGACCGAAAUGUAUCGUAGAAUAACCAUAGUUCCCGUAAGACAGCACUGAAAUAUACAAGAAUAGGUACAUCUACGAAACCUCGCUAAUGUGUAUGACCUAACGCAACUGUUUUGAGAGAAUGAUUUAUUUCACAACCCGCUCUUAAUAAUAUCCUAUUACAAAUUAUGUCCGGAUUCAAAAAUAGAAUUGUGUUCGCUAUGUAGAA